rnacentral:rRNA from 1 species
GUUGAACGCUAGCUACAGGCCUAACACAUGCAAGUCGAGGGACCGGCGCACGGGUGAGUAACACGUAUCCAACCUGCCCUUUACUCGGUGAUAGCCUUUCGCAAGUAAGAUUAACACCCGAUAUAAUGGAUCGGGAUGCGUUUCAUUAGGUUGUUGGUGAGGGAACGGCACACCAAGGCUUCGAUGGAUAGGGGUUCUGAGUGGAAGGUCCCCCACAUUGGAACUGAGGCACGGUCCAAACUCCGACGGGAGGCAGCAGUGAGGAAGAUUGGUGAAGGGGCGCUGGCCUAAACCAGCCAAGUAGCGGGAAGGAUGAAGGCUUAUGGGUCGUAAACUUCUUUUAUAUAAGAAGAGGUAUUAAAAGAAUAAGGAUCGGCUAACUCCGUGCCAGCCGCCGCGGUAAUAG